UACGGGGGGGGCAAGCGUUGUUCGGAAUUACUGGGCGUAAAGGGCUCGUAGGUGGCCAACUAAGUCAGACGUGAAAUCCCUCGGCUUAACCGGGGAACUGCAUCUGACACUGGAUGGCUUGAGAUUGGGAGAGGGAUGCGGAAUUCCAGGUGUAGCGGUGAAAUGCGUAGAUAUCUGGAGGAACACCGGUGGCGAAGGCGGCAUCCUGGACCAACACUGACGCUGAGGAGCGAAAGCCAGGGGAGCAAACGGG
rnacentral:rRNA from 1 species